CAGGUUUUAGACUACCUUGUUACAGUCUUUAAGAAUGAAAGUCCAGGCUCUUCAAUCACACUUUGCUGAUAUGGAUGAGGGCUGCACCUUUCCUGGCCAUUUGGCUAGAGACGGCUGAUUUUCAUUGCUAUUUUACUGUUUUUGUUUCUGCACAUUGAUGUUUCCAGGUUACCGGCUUCUUCAGUUCUAAGCCUGAGAUAUAUGAGUCAAAAAGAAAACUCAGAAAACUCUCUACCAUGUUGUUCUUCAGGUGUCAGAUUUCCUAUCUGUUGAAGGAAUAGAGAAAAGUACAUCUGUUCUAUCUUCCUGGAAGUGAAAACCUAC
rnacentral:lncRNA from 1 species